CCCGGUGAUCUAGCCAUGGGCAGGUUGAAGGUUGGGUAACACUAACUGGAGGACCGAACCGACUAAUGUUGAAAAAUUAGCGGAUGACUUGUGGCUGGGGGUGAAAGGCCAAUCAAACCGGGAGAUAGCUGGUUCUCCCCGAAAGCUAUUUAGGUAGCGCCUCGUGAAUUCAUCUCCGGGGGUAGAGCACUGUUUCGGCAAGGGGGUCAUCCCGACUUACCAACCCGAUGCAAACUGCGAAUACCGGAGAAUGUUAUCACGGGAGACACACGGCGGGUGCUAACGUCCGUCGUGAAGAGGGAAACAACCCAGACCGCCAGCUAAGGUCCCAAAGUCAUGGUUAAGUGGGAAACGAUGUGGGAAGGCCCAGACAGCCAGGAUGUUGGCUUAGAAGCAGCCAUCAUUUAAAGAAAGCGUAAUAGCUCACUGGUCGAGUCGGCCUGCGCGGAAGAUGUAACGGGGCUAAACCAUGCACCGAAGCUGCGGCAGCGACGCUUAUGCGUUGUUGGGUAGGGGAGCGUUCUGUAAGCCUGCGAAGGUGUGCUGUGAGGCAUGCUGGAGGUAUCAGAAGUGCGAAUGCUGACAUAAGUAACGAUAAAGCGGGUGAAAAGCCCGCUCGCCGGAAGACCAAGGGUUCCUGUCCAACGUUAAUCGGGGCAGGGUGAGUCGACCCCUAAGGCGAGGCCGAAAGGCGUAGUCGAUGGGAAACAGGUUAAUAUUCCUGUACUUGGUGUUACUGCGAAGGGGGGACGGAGAAGGCUAUGUUGGCCGGGCGACGGUUGUCCCGGUUUAAGCGUGUAGGCUGGUUUUCCAGGCAAAUCCGGAAAAUCAAGGCUGAGGCGUGAUGACGAGGCACUACGGUGCUGAAGCAACAAAUGCCCUGCUUCCAGGAAAAGCCUCUAAGCAUCAGGUAACAUCAAAUCGUACCCCAAACCGACACAGGUGGUCAGGUAGAGAAUACCAAGGCGCUUGAGAGAACUCGGGUGAAGGAACUAGGCAAAAUGGUGCCGUAACUUCGGGAGAAGGCACGCUGAUAUGUAGGUGAAGUCCCUCGCGGAUGGAGCUGAAAUCAGUCGAAGAUACCAGCUGGCUGCAACUGUUUAUUAAAAACACAGCACUGUGCAAACACGAAAGUGGACGUAUACGGUGUGACGCCUGCCCGGUGCCGGAAGGUUAAUUGAUGGGGUUAGCGCAAGCGAAGCUCUUGAUCGAAGCCCCGGUAAACGGCGGCCGUAACUAUAACGGUCCUAAGGUAGCGAAAUUCCUUGUCGGGUAAGUUCCGACCUGCACGAAUGGCGUAAUGAUGGCCAGGCUGUCUCCACCCGAGACUCAGUGAAAUUGAACUCGCUGUGAAGAUGCAGUGUACCCGCGGCAAGACGGAAAGACCCCGUGAACCUUUACUAUAGCUUGACACUGAACAUUGAGCCUUGAUGUGUAGGAUAGGUGGGAGGCUUUGAAGUGUGGACGCCAGUCUGCAUGGAGCCGACCUUGAAAUACCACCCUUUAAUGUUUGAUGUUCUAACGUUGACCCGUAAUCCGGGUUGCGGACAGUGUCUGGUGGGUAGUUUGACUGGGGCGGUCUCCUCCUAAAGAGUAACGGAGGAGCACGAAGGUUGGCUAAUCCUGGUCGGACAUCAGGAGGUUAGUGCAAUGGCAUAAGCCAGCUUGACUGCGAGCGUGACGGCGCGAGCAGGUGCGAAAGCAGGUCAUAGUGAUCCGGUGGUUCUGAAUGGAAGGGCCAUCGCUCAACGGAUAAAAGGUACUCCGGGGAUAACAGGCUGAUACCGCCCAAGAGUUCAUAUCGACGGCGGUGUUUGGCACCUCGAUGUCGGCUCAUCACAUCCUGGGGCUGAAGUAGGUCCCAAGGGUAUGGCUGUUCGCCAUUUAAAGUGGUACGCGAGCUGGGUUUAGAACGUCGUGAGACAGUUCGGUCCCUAUCUGCCGUGGGCGCUGGAGAACUGAGGGGGGCUGCUCCUAGUACGAGAGGACCGGAGUGGACGCAUCACUGGUGUUCGGGUUGUCAUGCCAAUGGCACUGCCCGGUAGCUAAAUGCGGAAGAGAUAAGUGCUGAAAGCAUCUAAGCACGAAACUUGCCCCGAGAUGAGUUCUCCCUGACCCUUUAAGGGUCCUGAAGGAACGUUGAAGACGACGACGUUGAUAGGCCGGGUGUGUAAGCGCAGCGAUGCGUUGAGCUAACCGGUACUAAUGAACCGUGAGGCUUAACCUU
rnacentral:rRNA from 1 species